UACAGAGGGUGCAAGCGUUAAUCGGAUUUACUGGGCGUAAAGCGUGCGUAGGCGGUUCAUUAAGUCGGUUGUGAAAUCCCUGGGCUUAACCUGGGAACUGCAGUCGAUACUGGUGGACUAGAGUACGGUAGAGGGUGGCGGAACUCCGGGUGUAGCGGUGAAGUGCGUAGAUAUCCGGAAGAACACCGAUGGCGAAGGCAACCACCUGGGCCUGUACUGACGCUGAGGUACGAAAGCGUGGGGAGCAAACAGG
rnacentral:rRNA from 1 species